rnacentral:rRNA from 1 species
GGCCUACGGGACGCAGCAGUAGGGAAUCUUCCACAAUGGACGAAAGUCUGAUGGAGCAACGCCGCGUGAGUGAAGAAGGGUUUCGGCUCGUAAAGCUCUGUUGGUAGUGAAGAAAGAUAGUGGUAGUAACUGGCCUUUAUUUGACGGUAAUUACUUAGAAAGUCACGGCUAACUACGUGCCAGCAGCCGCGGUAAUACGUAGGUGGCAAGCGUUGUCCGGAUUUAUUGGGCGUAAAGCGAGUGCAGGCGGUUUAAAUAGUGUGUUGUGAAAGCCUUCGGCUUA